rnacentral:ncRNA from 2 species
AUUUGUUCUCAGGGCGGGGUGAAAUUCCCCACCGGCGGUAAGCAGGGUCCAACUGGUCUUCUGUCAGCCCGCGAGCGGCUUUUCGUGUCCACGACCCAAAACUGGGAACCGGUUUUGGGGAACUUGUGGAAUUUGCGCAAAAAGUGUCCAGCAGAUCUGGUGUGAUUCCAGAGCCGACGGUGAAAGUCCGGAUGGAAGAGAACGUGC